rnacentral:rRNA from 1 species
AAUGGGCGAAAGCCUGAUGCAGCGACGCCGCGUGAGGGAAGACGGUCUUCGGAUUGUAAACCUCUGUCUUUGGGGACGAUAAUGACGGUACCCAAGGAGGAAGCCACGGCUAACUACGUGCCAGCAGCCGCGGUAAUACGUAGGUGGCGAGCGUUGUCCGGAAUUACUGGGUGUAAAGGGAGCGUAGGCGGGAAUGCAAGUUGAAUGUCAAAUCUAUCGGCUCAACCGAUAGCCGCGUUCAAAACUGCAUUUCUUGAGUGAAGUAGAGGUUGGCGGAAUUCCUAGUGUAGCGGUGAAAUGCGUAGAUAUUAGGAGGAACACCAGUGGCGAAGGCGGCCAACUGGGCUUUAACUGACGCUGAGGCUCGAAAGCGUGGGGAGCAAA